UUGAGCCGUAUGCGGUGAAAGUCGCAUGUACGGUUCUUAGAAGAGA
rnacentral:misc_RNA from 1 species